rnacentral:lncRNA from 1 species
CCAGUAUGGAAAACCCACAAUUAAAGAAAUGAAAUACGGCUAAUACCUGAGGUCGAAAGGCCGGUAUGGAAACCCCCGUAUUAUCUAUUGGCCAAAUUUGAUGAACAGGUUCCAAAAAUCAAAGUCUAUUGCUAUCAGUCAAGUACCACACUUCAAGGGUACCCGAUAAAGAGAAGGAUUUCAAAGAAAAGGAUCACGAAUGAAGUUAUAGAUGUGAUAUUGUACUUAUUGAAUGGAUAAUGUGUUAUGUGAUUGAUAUAUUGCUAUUACAUCAGUUUCAACUUGCUGAGCCAUUAGCUCAUUAGGUUCUUAUGAUGCAGGUAAUGAUGUACAUGUUUAGAAGUUGACCUAGCCAAGAGCGGCUAGUCAGAUAUUUGUUCAUAUGCCAUGCUUCGAGCCAUUUUUGUAGCCGAGCAGAAACUCUGAUUUCAUUUUGUUAGCCGCUCUAUUAUGGUUUUUGUACAAUGUAAUUUUGUAAACAAUGAAUAUAUAUAUGUACGGAUUUUGAGAAAGUACUAAGUUUGAUUUCUUUUCAAAGCAUAUAACGUAUUUUUGUAUUAAAACCAUAAUGUUUAAGUAUAUAUAUAAAAAGCUUAGCAUCCCUAACUUAAUGGCGGUGAUCCGAUUGGAUUCUGCUGUUAGGUUGUGCGGUGUUACAUUUUUGGUAUCAGAGCGGAGGUUUAAAAUCUUUUCUGAAGACAGAAGAAGGCAUAUGAACAUACUUUGGCUGGGAAGCUAGGUUAGAUACGCACAUAAGUAAGUAUACAAAGGCAUACACAAAAUUACUCACGCAAAAGUGCAUUCGCAAAAAGGAUCAUGAAAACACAAACUACAAUCCUAGGACAUUAAUUGUAAUGCCCAACCAUCCAUACAUGGCCAAUAAAAAGCAUAUUGCAUCAAUGCAUAUAGUUAUAAUUCAUUAUUCAUGAUGCAUGAUCACGACUACUUGCUACACAUGUGCCUUAAUUGUGUUUUAAUACGUGAUCGAAUACUUUUCUUAAACAGUGAUAAUACAUGAUACAUGUUAUUGAACUUCUACUUUAUGAUUUAACAUUAACUUAAAUGAUUUAUUGUAGUGAGAAGUUAAGUUUCUCGCUAAACGGUGAUAUAUUUGUCUUAGAUGCAUUUCUGCAUUUUAAUUAUGUUUUAAUAUGAUUAAUUACAUAUGUAAUUAUUUGAAGUAACUCAUAUUAGACUAAAACCAAAAGUAUGCAAAAGGGUGCAUUUUGAUUGGUUGGUUGACUAGGUUGCACGAGACCAUUCUGAAAUUGUUUACACUUGAUUAUAAUGAGUAAGCAUCAGCCCAUAUCUUAUCUCAAGCUAUAAAAACGUGGAGGAACCACAAGAAUCCAGCAAAUACAAGCCUUCCAAUCACCAUCCUCCAUUUGGUCUUGUUGGGAAUGGGUAGAUAAGUGAAGACUUUGUGUUUUGGUCUUCAUUUUCACUUGUCUUCUUCCAAAAACGACCAGACCUAUUUCCUUAAUCUUGUCUUCAUAUUUCUUCACUUCCGUACUUACAUAAGAGAGCAUCAAACCAUAAAAAUCAUAGAAGUAGAGCUAGAACAAGUUCUGCCCCUUUUCUAGCUGAAAAUCCUAUGUUUUGAAGUUGAAUUCAUCUCUAAUCAAGGCUUCUAGCACACCUUAUCUAAGACUAAUCCUUUCAUUUCAUAAACCAUUAUUGAUCUUGAGGUAAGUUGAAGCUUUCAUUUUCACAUCGUAAGAACCUAAUUAUGUGCGCUUUAAUGUGACUUUUGCUAUGUAUUCUCUAUGAUGUUUGAAUGAUUGAUGAGUCAUAGUGAUAUGAAAGAAUAUGUUUUGAAAAUGGGAGUAUGGUACUUGAUUGAUGGUCGAGUAGGCAAGGGACGCGGGAGGAACCGGCGGACCCAACACAUGGUGGCAAAUACCUGAGGUCGAAAGACCAGUAUGGAAAACCCACAAUUAAAGAAAUGAAAUACGGCUAAUACCUGAGGUCGAAAGGCCGGUAUGGAAACCCCCGUAUUAUCUAUUGGCCAAAUUUGAUGAACAGGUUCCAAAAAUCAAAGUCUAUUGCUAUCAGUCAAGUACCACACUUCAAGGGUACCCGAUAAAGAGAAGGAUUUCAAAGAAAAGGAUCACGAAUGAAGUUAUAGAUGUGAUAUUGUACUUAUUGAAUGGAUAAUGUGUUAUGUGAUUGAUAUAUUGCUAUUACAUCAGUUUCAACUUGCUGAGCCAUUAGCUCAUUAGGUUCUUAUGAUGCAGGUAAUGAUGUACAUGUUUAGAAGUUGACCUAGCCAAGAGCGGCUAGUCAGAUAUUUGUUCAUAUGCCAUGCUUCGAGCCAUUUUUGUAGCCGAGCAGAAACUCUGAUUUCAUUUUGUUAGCCGCUCUAUUAUGGUUUUUGUACAAUGUAAUUUUGUAAACAAUGAAUAUAUAUAUGUACGGAUUUUGAGAAAGUACUAAGUUUGAUUUCUUUUCAAAGCAUAUAACGUAUUUUUGUAUUAAAACCAUAAUGUUUAAGUAUAUAUAUAAAAAGCUUAGCAUCCCUAACUUAAUGGCGGUGAUCCGAUUGGAUUCUGCUGUUAGGUUGUGCGGUGUUACAUUUUUGGUAUCAGAGCGGAGGUUUAAAAUCUUUUCUGAAGACAGAAGAAGGCAUAUGAACAUACUUUGGCUGGGAAGCUAGGUUAACUCUUUUCUUAUUUACCUAUGUGUUUAAUUUAUAUGUUGCAUAGCAAAUAUCCAGAAUUGUUCGGUACGUCAAAUUUCGAGGGCGAAAUUUUAUAAGGAGGGAAGAAUUGUAAUGCCCAACCAUCCAUACAUGGCCAAUAAUAAGCAUAUUGCAUCAAUGCAUAUAGUUAUAAUUCAUUAUUCAUGAUGCAUGAUCACGACUACUUGCUACACAUGUGCCUUAAUUGUGUUUUAAUACGUGAUCGAAUACUUUUCUUAAACUGUGAUAAUAUAUGAUACAUGUUAUUGAACUUCUACUUUAUGAUUUAACAUUAACUUAAAUGAUUUAUUGUAGUGAGAAGUUAAGUUUCUCGCUAAACGGUGAUAUAUUUGUCUUAGAUGCAUUUCUGCAUUUUAAUUAUGAUUAAUUACAUAUGUAAUUAUUUGAAGUAACUCAUACUAGACUAAAACCAAAAGUAUGCAAAAUGGUGCAUUUUGAUUGGUUGGUUGACUAGGUUGCACGAGACCAUUCUGAAAUUGUUUACACUUGAUUAUAAUGAGUAUGCAUCAGCCCAUUUCUUAUCUCAAGCUAUAAAAACGUGGAGGAACCACAAGAAUCCAGCAAAUACAAGCCUUCCAAUCACCAUCCUCCAUUUGGCCUUGUUGGGAAUGGGUAGAUAAGUGAAGACUUUGUGUUUUGGUCUUCAUUUUCACUUGUCUUCUUCCAAAAAUGACCAGACCUAUUUCCUUAAUUUUGUCUUCAUAUUUCUUCACUUCCAUACUCACAUAAGAGAGCAUCAAACCAUAAAAACUCAUAGAAGUAGAGCUAGAACAAGUUCUGCACCUUUUCUAGCUGAAAAUCCUAUGUUUUGAAGUUGAAUUCAUCUCUAAUCAAGGCUUCUAGCACACCUUAUCUAAAACUGAUCCUUUCAUUUCAUAAACCAUUAUUGAUCUUGAGGUAAGUUGAAGCUUUCAUUUGCACAUCGUAAGAACCUAAUUAUGUGCGCUUUAAUGUGACUUUUGCUAUGUAUUCUCUAUAAUGUUUGAAUGAUUGAUGAGUCAUAGUGAUAUGAAAGAAUAUGUUUUGAAAAUGGGAGUAUGGUACUUGAUUGAUGGUCGAGUAGGCAAGGGACGCAGGAGGAACCGGCGGACCCAACACAUGGUGGCAAAUACCUGAGGUCGAAAGACCAGUAUGGAAAACCCACAAUUAAAGAAAUGAAAUACGGCUAAUACCUGAGGUCGAAAGGCCGGUAUGGAAACCCCCGUAUUAUCUAUUGGCCAAAUUUGAUGAACAGGUUCCGAAAAUCAAAGUCUAUUGCUAUCAGUCAAGUACCACACUUCAAGGGUACCCGAUAAAGAGAAGGAUUUCAAAGAAAAGGAUCACGAAUGAAGUUAUAGAUGUGAUAUUGUACUUAUUGAAUAGAUAAUGUGUUAUGUGAUUGAUAUAUUGCUAUUACAUCAGUUUCAACUUGCUGAGCCAUUAGCUCAUUAGGUUCUUAUGAUGCAGGUAAUGAUGUACAUGUUUAGAAGUUGACCUAGCCAAGAGCGGCCAGUCAGAUAUUUGUUCAUAUGCCAUGCUUCGAGCCAUUUUUGUAGCCGAGCAGAAACUCUGAUUUCAUUUUGUUAGCCGCUCUAUUAUGGUUUUUGUACAAUGUAAUUUUGUAAACAAUGAAUAUAUAUAUGUACGGAUUUUGAGAAAGUACAAAGUUUGAUUUCUUUUCAAAGCAUAUAACGUAUUUUUGUAUUAAAACCAUAAUGUUUAAGUAUAUAUAUAAAAAGCUUAGCAUCCCUAACUUAAUGGCGGUGAUCCGAUUGGAUUCUGCUGUUAGGUUGUGCGGUGUUACAUUUUUGGUAUCAGAGCGGAGGUUUAAAAUCUUUUCUGAAGACAGAAGAAGGCAUAUGAACAUACUUUGGCUGGGAAGCUUGGUUAACUCUUUUCUUAUUUACCUAUGUGUUUAAUUUAUAUGUUGCAUAGCAAAUAUCCAGAAUUGUUCGGUACGUCAAAUUUCGAGGGCGAAAUUUUAUAAGGAGGGAAGAAUUGUAAUGCCCAACCAUCCAUACAUGGCCAAUAAUAAGCAUAUUGCAUCAAUGCAUAUAGUUAUAAUUCAUUAUUCAUGAUGCAUGAUCACGACUACUUGCUACACAUGUGCCUUAAUUGUGUUUUACUACGUGAUCGAAUACUUUUCUUAAACUGUGAUAAUACAUGAUACAUGUUAUUGAACUUCUACUUUAUGAUUUAACAUUAACUUAAAUGAUUUAUUGUAGUGAGAAGUUAAGUUUCUCGCUAAACGGUGAUAUAUUUGUCUUAGAUGCAUUUCCGCAUUUUAAUUAUGUUUUAAUAUGAUUAAUUACAUAUGUAAUUAUUUGAAGUAACUCAUAUUAGACUAAAACCAAAAGUAUGCAAAAUGGUGCAUUUUGAUUGGUUGGUUGACUAGGUUGCACGAGACCAUUCUGAAAUUGUUUACACUUGAUUAUAAUGAGUAUGCAUCAGCCCAUAUCUUAUCUCAAGCUAUAAAAACGUGGAGGAACCACAAGAAUCCAGCAAAUAAAAGCCUUCCAAUCACCAUCCUCCAUUUGGCCUUGUUGGGAAUGGGUAGAUAAGUGAAGACUUUGUGUUUUGGUCUUCAUUUUCACUUGUCUUCUUCCAAAAACGACCAGACCGAUUUCCUUAAUCUUGUCUUCAUAUUUCUUCACUUCCAUACUCACAUAAGAGAGCAUCAAACCAUAAAAACUCAUAGAAGUAGAGCUAGAACAAGUUCUGCACCUUUUCUAGCUGAAAAUCCUAUGUUUUGAAGUUGAAUUCAUCUCUAAUCAAGGCUUCUAGCACACCUUAUCUAAAACUGAUCCUUUCAUUUCAUAAACCAUUAUUGAUCUUGAGGUAAGUUGAAGCUUUCAUUUGUACAUCGUAAGAACCUAAUUAUGUGCGCUUUAAUGUGACUUUUGCUAUGUAUUCUCUAUGAUGUUUGAAUGAUUGAUGAGUCAUAGUGAUAUGAAAGAAUAUGUUUUGAAAAUGGGAGUAUGGUAUUUGAUUGAUGGUCGAGUAGGCAAGGGACGCGGGAGGAACCGGCGGACCCAACACAUGGUGGCAAAUACCUGAGGUCGAAAGACCAGUAUGGAAAACCCACAAUUAAAGAAAUGAAAUACGGCUAAUACCUUAGGUCGAAAGGCCGGUAUGGAAACCCACGUAUUAUCUAUUGGCCAAAUUUGAUGAACAGGUUCCGAAAAUCAAAGUCUAUUGCUAUCAGUCAAGUACCACACUUCAAGGGUACCCGAUAAAGAGAAGGAUUUCAAAGAAAAGGAUCACGAAUGAAGUUAUAGAUGUGAUAUUGUACUUAUUGAAUGGAUAAUGUGUUAUGUGAUUGAUAUAUUGCUAUUACAUCAGUUUGAACUUGCUGAGCCAUUAGCUCAUUAGGUUCUUAUGAUGCAGGUAAUGAUGUACAUGUUUAGAAGUUGACCUAGCCAAGAGCAGCCAGUCAGAUAUUUGUUCAUAUGCCAUGCUUCGAGCCAUUUUUGUAGCCGAGCAGAAACUCUGAUUUCAUUUUGUUAGCCGCUCUAUUAUGGUUUUUGUACAAUGUAAUUUUGUAAACAAUGAAUAUAUAUAUGUAC